GUAGUGGGAUGACAGGCUGAAAGCGGCGAUUCCGCCGUUUUUAGCCAGUCUUUCUAUCAUGUUUCGCGCACAACUUUUUAACAUACCUUUUUUUUUAUCAAACCAAAACCCAUAACAACAUAAACAAAAAAAACCAAAACCAAACAAAAAACUCGUGACGGUGGAUGUCUAGGCUCCAGCAACGAUGAAGAACGCAGCAAAAUGCGAUACGUAGUGCGAAUUGCAAAAUCCGUGAAUCAUCGAAUCUUUGAACGCAAGUUGCGCUCGCGGGCAAUCCUGCGAGCAUGUCUGUUUGAGUGUCCGCACAAAUGAGACUUUUGCUUCUUUCCAAUAGAGGAAGGAGCUGCUGAUGGGUGUUUCUGUCCGAUGUGCUAACGCGCGUUGGUGCGGGAGUUUUCCGUGCAACCUGAAAGGGGGAAGCGGUCACCUGAAGAAUAGCUUUGUAUGGGAUGUUGUUUUGUCGGCUAGAGGUGGUUUUUGCUUGGCACAUCUUUCUUUCUGCUUCUUUUGAGGUAGAUUGGAGGGUUGUGUAGUGCAGAGCGGUUGUGGAAGGUGCAACCGUGAGAUCGACUAAACAAUGCUUUUUCCCGCAGGAGUAGAAUACACGACUGUGAAAAGGGGGAUUGCAAAGGAUGGUUGAUUCUGGGCAAAAUGCCCUCUGUAUCGUCAGGCGAUUGCUUUUCUUGGUCAACUAUGCAGGACUUUCAUUGUAACAUAAACAGUAUAACAUUUUGGUCUCAAAUCAGACAAGACGACCCGCUGAAUUAA
rnacentral:rRNA from 1 species